UAUUACUUUCUUUUUUUUAAAGAGGAGCUACUUUAUUAAUUAUUAUUAUUAUUAUGUUUUUAAUGGAGGUAGUGGGGAUUGAAGCCAGGACCUUGUGCAUGCUAAGCACGCGCUCUACCAUUGAGAUACACCCUCCCCCCGCUGACAUAGCUUAAGUUUCCA